GUGUAAUAGCUGUUAAGCCGAUAUUAUUGGCUCAGUCUCUAGCAACAUUUCGGAGACAACGAAGAGCGACUUGUGUAUGUUGUGAACGUAGCAAAUACACCAGAAUCGGUGUCUGGAAAAAUAGACUGAUUUGAAUUUGUGAAUUGGAUUACGUGUGGUGUGGCCUGUUAUUUUACUGGCUGUGACUGUUUUAGUAGUUGUACCAUAUUCAGUUAUAUUCCUUAUUAUCUGUUCCACACGUUACGUGGAAUUGAAUACUACAAAGUGCAAGUUUUCUGUGAAAAGAAAUUCAUUUCCAAUUGAAAUUGUUGUUGUUUUUGCAUACGUGUUUUAAGGGUGUAAUAAACUCGUUAUCAUGUUCGUAUUCGUGAACAUAUAGACAAUCGUAUGCUAAAAGGCUAGAGAACCGGAAGUGAUUAAAAUGAAUUAAUGUCCGAAAAAUCUGAAUCAUUUUGAUUUAAAUUGCGUAGAAGAUAAUACCGACGUGUAUGCAUACAUGAUAACACUUUAAUAACAAUGUGGCUCGUUCGUGAAUUGCAAUAAAUUCGUUGUGUACUUACUAAUUUUGGAAUAUUUAUAAAUAUCAAUCGUAAGACAGUCAAAAAUUCUGAACGAUAUUCGUUCGGCGAAAAAAUAAUUUUAUUUUGCAUAGUCGAGUGUGUGUCACAGUUUAAUAUUCCUUUGAAGUUGUGGUUUGUUGCAAUAAUAAAAAGCAAAAAUGAUCUUCAAACGAUACCUAAACGAAGGCCAGUUGAAGGGAUUCGAAAGAUACAAGUACAGUUCCAUUGACAACAGUAUAUUUAGUACGAAGGUGAUGCACCCAUUCUGGAAUUGGUGUGUACAAUUCUUCCCCAGAUGGAUCGCGCCGAAUUUAAUAACAUUCACCGGUUUCUUACUUACGAUAGCCAAUUUCUUGCUGAUAGGAUACUAUGACUAUGGAUUUACCGCAGUAAACGAUAAAGAACAUCCGAUACCGAGAUGGGUAUGGCUGGUAGCAUCGAUAAAUAUUUUUUUAGCGUACACCUUAGAUGGAAUCGAUGGUAAACAAGCUAGGAGAACUGGAACCAGUGGUCCGUUGGGAGAACUCUUCGAUCACGGCGUGGAUUCAUAUUCGGCCGUGCUGAUACCCAUCUAUGUUUUCAGUUUGUUUGGCAAAGUCGAACUGAGUCCGUUAAGAAUGCACUUUGUUACGUGGAACGUAUUUCUGAAUUUUUAUCUCACCCACUUCGAAAAGUACAAUACUGGUGUUCUGUUCUUGCCAUGGGCCUAUGACUUCACAAUGUGGGGAGUUACGCUGACACUUCUCGUCACGUUUCUGUUCGGAACGAACAUUUGGCAUACACCAUUGCCAGGCGGCAUAGCACCGGCAUUUGCAUUCGAAUGGCUACUGUACAUAUCUGGAAUAAUCAGCAGCCAUCCAUUUAUCAUAUACAAUGUGUACAAAUCUUACAAAAAUAAAACAGGGAAAAUGAGACCCAUUUUGGAAGCAUUGAGGCCACUUAUGCCAUUCACUGCAUUAUUCAUCAUAACCACAAUUUGGGUUAUGUUAUCCAGGAAUGACAUAUGCUCCAUGGAACCACGACUGAUGUUUCUACUUUUCGGCACAAUUUUCUCGAACAUAUGCUGUCGCCUAAUUGUGGCUCAAAUGUCUGACACACGUACAGAGGGUUGGAACGCCUUCUUUUGGCCACUGUUGGUUGCUGUUAGCAUAUCGAUAUUUCCGUAUCGAUAUUUUGCAAUGGGAGAUAUUGCUCCGGCUACGGAACGGUGGCUCGUUUAUGUAUUAACGUCAAUGCUAACGAUUGCUCAUUUUCACUAUGGUCAGGGGGUGGUUCGAGAAAUGUGUCGCCACUUUAAAAUCAAAUGUUUUAAAAUUUAAAAAUCUUUAAACAGCUUGCUUAUGAAACUAACACCAUACCAAACUAAUCGCAAUCAAACGAACGUUUGAGAUUCGAUUACCAGACCAACAAGAAGUCUAACACAGAAAAUUGUUUAAUGUUUUAUACCAAAAAAAUACUCAUUUUACGAAGUUAAAUCUUAAUGGCAAAUAAACAAGUCGAAUCAU